rnacentral:tRNA from 1 species
GUCGUUAGCUCAGUCGGUAGAGCAGUUGACUUUUAAUCAAUUGGUCGCAGGUUCCAAUCCUGCACGACCCACCA